AUUGAACGCUGGCGGCAGGCCUAACACAUGCAAGUCGAGCGGAGCGGCGGACGGGUGCGUAAUGCCUAGGAAUCUGACUGGGAGUGGGGGAUAACGUUCGGAAACGGGCGCUAAUACCGCAUACUAUCGGAUGAGCCUAGGCCGGAUUAGCUUGUUGGAGGGGUAAUGGCCUACCAAGGCGACGAUCCGUAACUGUUCUGAGAGGAUGAUCAGUCACAGUGGAACUGAGACACGGUCCAGACUCCUACGGGAGGCAGCAGUGGGGAAUAUUGGACAAUGGGCGCAAGUCUGAUGCAGCCAUGCCGCGUGUGUGAAGAAGGUCUUCGGAUUGUAAAGCACUUUAAGUUGGGAGGCGUUACCAACAGAAUAAGCACCGGCUAACUUCGUGCCAGCAGCCGCGGUAAUUC
rnacentral:rRNA from 1 species